rnacentral:lncRNA from 1 species
ACAUGGGUCAUCUAGUGAAUGACCUCUGACUUGAUCAACAUCUCUUUUGGGGGGGAUUCCUUCUAUCCUCUCCUUGGUCUGGGUGCCUUACUCUUGGAGGUCGGCAUUCUUCUCCUAGAAUAUAGAAUUUGGUGUAUGAAAGAGAUUGCCUAGGUCGUGCAUUUCCCCCACUCCGGCGAGGAUAACGCUAUUUUCUCUUCAAGGCUCACUAGCCUAACCUUUUUUUCUUGUAUUCUUCAUCUACCAGCCUUUCGAGGCCACUAGACAAGGUCUUCUCUUUCAAUCUUCUGAUCAUAUAAUACUUGGGGGAGUAUAUAUGAUUGCGUAACACGAAAAGUGCUCAACUGGGUAGAAAACACAACAAAAAAAGUAUGUGUUUCUCACAGUUGGUACCUAAAUGUUAACACAAAACCAGUACAGUUAGCCCUUAGCCGGCUAAGGAUAUAAAGCUAGAUAAUUGACAACAAGAUUUAAGUGGUUCACCCUAAAAAAUGGGCUAUGUUCACUGUGGUGGUCUGAUAUAUAUUUGAUGUGGAUUACAUUAGCUCUCUAAACAGUGUAGUGUAAUUUUACUCUCUUGGUCUGACCGCUUAGAAGAAGUAUUUGGCCUCUUUAUAUAGGCCUUAAGUGAGCCCCAAAAGUUCUGGCUUCUUAAUUCUCUUAUUGCCCUAUCAUUAAAUGGGUUCGAACACGUAGGUACAGCCUAUGACCUAUUCCUCCAUUAUCCAUUCGAUACAUGGAAAGGGAAAGACAUUUACACAUAGCUACUUGCAUGAUUCCUUAGGUCGACGCAUCUCAACCACAUUGCUCGUUAAAGAGUGGUUGAAAAGCACUUAUAUGAGCUAUAAGCCUGACAACAUUUAUGUCUCUUCAUAGAUUUUCUUUCCUGCCAUUGGGCAACGCGUGGUUGGGAGUUGAUGUUUGGAUAGACUUGUCCUUGGAGCUUCGUGCCAAAAAGUUAUCAGGUCUGCCAACUGGCUUAAGCGCUCGAAAAAUACUUUAAGUUGUGUGUUCGUCUACUAUGGUCGAUAGACAAUCCAAGAUUAUGAGCGGUCUUAUGGUGGUCGUAUUUCCUUCUCGUGGUGGAUGUAAAUAAUCAUCAAGAUUUCUUGGGCUGGCUUGCAUAGCCGAUGUCUUGAUCUUCUCAUUCUUUGGUGGACUCUGUCUCUAAGCUCAUCUAAGACCAUCUCCAAUGGUGACCUAAAACCAAAAAUAUUUAGCCCAAAAAAUUUGGGUUUUAGCCCAGAAACAGCUUUCCUGCUCCAACUCUUCUAGCCUAAAAUUUUAGCCCGAGAUUAUCAAAGAAUGAAUUAAGGCUAUUUUUUUUAAAUUAACUUUUUUAAAAAAAUUAAGUAGACUAUCCUAAAUUAAUUAUAUGAACAUUUUAAACUAAAAAUAUUUAAAUUCCGAUAAAUUUUGAAAUAUCACUAAAUUAGUACAUGAAAUUCAUGAUAAACCACAUAAACUUAAUACAAACAACAUUUAAUAAACCACAUAAACUUAGAUUUUUUUUUUACCGUUAGAUUUGAUUAUAUUCGAUCUAAGCUGUUGGAUUCAAUAAAUAUAUAAAUAUAAAACUAAAAAAAAUUAAUUUGAACCUGGACCGUUGGAUGUAGAAAAGUAGCCCAACGGCUACUUGAUGGUCUAACAGUGGGGGAACAACCCCACGUGGGUUGGUACAAAUUUUUGAGAAAGCCUAGCACGUGCAGCGCGUAGGCGAGUAGGGAGUGGUUAGUGGGCUUCACAGCCCAGGUUUCAGUCUCAGUUGGUGGGGCCUAUUUUGCUUUGUGGCCUAAAAUUGGGCCGGUAUUUGCCCUCCAUUUGAGUUUUAGGUUUUAGGUUAAUUUUAAGUCAUGGGUUGGAAUGGAUUUUGGGGGGGAAGAGAAAUUUUAGGUUUUAGCCCACCAUUAGAGAUGGUCUAAUAGGCCCCAAAACAAUUAUAAACUAUUUUAUAGAUCUGAAUGAACCCUGUGUUAACAGGAUGAAUCCGUUCCAUUUAACUUAUACUAUUCUUUAGUGCCAUUUGAACAUAAAAAAAAACCUUUAGCGCCAUGCCAUUAGAACUCGAUCUUUAGCGGCUAGUUCUACAUGUACUCUUGACGAUAUUCCCCUCACCGAUUUGUUUUUUUGUUUUUCCUUUUUAAAGGAAAAAGAAGCCAACAAAGGCAAAUUAAACCAGGGAGAAAGUAUCUUUACGAGUCAGAGGAGUCACAUCCCCUGUUUAAUUGGUCAAGGAAACAACAACAAUGCAGUAUAGCCUGUAAACUUAGCCGGUUUAAGCAUUUUUUUUCUGCUGUGAAAGGUACCAAACAAGGCGAGAACAGGCUAUUUUGUGUUUCGGCUGGAAAUCAGAUCAAGUGCGAGACCAGUGACCGAGAAUACGGGAAACAGUAAGGCCCGAUCAUCAGGGUUUUUUCUUCAAAAUUAAUAGAAGGCUCACUCCCCAGCUUUUAAGUUCAGUGAUUUCGGAAGAUUUGUGAAAAGCAGUACUACCGUCUGUAGAUUAUCGUAUGUCCCACGAGUGCUAUCUUAUCUAGCUAAACCUAUGUAGUCAAUAAAUCUAUCUCAGAAGUCAGUUAUUUAUUUGCAAUGAACCUAUGAUGUAGUCAGUAAAUCUAUCUCAGAAGUCAGUUAUUUAUUUGCAAUGAUUUUGUUUUGGUUAAUUGUACUUUUUAUGUUAUCUCUUGGUAAAAUGGCCAUAGGAAUUAGUGGGUUUUGUUGUGUGCAGUGGCAACAGUUUUAGGAUUUUAUGGGCGUAGGGUUCGUAGUAAGUUAGUAACUCGAGAUAAAAUACUCAAAUCACGCUUGGGGUAUUAUAAAACGUUUUUAUUUUAUCAAGGGUCAAAAGUUUAUACUGUUACAAUUUAACCUAGUUUUUAUAUUUUUUCUUUCAAUUAAUUUUUUUAUUUUAUACAUUUUUAUUCUAAAUUUUAAUUAAAAAUAUUUAAAUAUGAUAAUCUAACCACUUUUCUCAAAAAUAAUUAAAGGGAAUUUGUAUUCCAUCAAAUGAUACCUAUACUAUAGAUUGAUAAAAUAUAUUUUAACAUAUGGAGGUAGAAUAUACAAAUAUAAAUAAAACUUGAUCUACUUAUUAUCCAAGAAAAUAGUUCCAAGAAAUGUAUAUAUGUUGGUAGUACAUAUAACAUAGAUUAGUUAACACAAUUAAGAUGUGAUGGAGGUAGAAAAAAAUUGAGAUAUGGAUUAGUAUUUUAAUCUUAAAAUCAAGUAACAAAUAAUCCUAUAGAUAGAGACAACAAUAAUUUCAAUUUAGAGUAAAUUCUAGCAAUGGUCCCUCAACUAAAAACCCAUUACCAUUAGUCUCUCAACUCAUCAAAAGUUAUGGUCCUUUUUGUCAACUUCAUUAGAAUUUUGUCAAAAUAAGUUAUGUUGGAAGGACCAUGGCUACAAUUAGGGUCCAUCAACUCAUCAAAACAUGUAACUAUGGUCAUUUUCGUCAAUUUCGUCAGAAUUUUGUCAAAAUGAGUUAUGUUGGAAGGAUAAUUGCUACAAUUAUGUUAAAGUUGAUGGACCAUUGCUCCAAUUGGGUUAGAACUUAGGGACCAUUGCUCCAAUUGGAUUAAAGUUGAGGGACCAAUGCUAAUAGAUUUUUAGUUGAUGGACCAUAACUGCACAUUUUGAAGAGUUGAGGGACCAAUGGUAAUGAAUUUUUAGUUGAGGGACCCUUACUCCAAUUAAGUUAAAGUUAAGGGACUAUUACUACAAUUUACUCUUCAAUUUAAUAAAUAUAAAAUACUGAUGUUGAUAAUUAGUGAGUGGACAUAUCCAACAAAGUAGACUAAACCUAAUAAUGACUUACAAAAUUGAACUUAUAUCAAAUUUACUCAUGUUUUAGGGGGUAUUAAUUAUAAUUUUCAAAUGUAAACGUCCUCAUUUUAACCAAAGUUAGGACAAUAUUUUGAGGUGACAAUUUCGUUCUUUUUUAGUAUGUGCACUUCAAACAUUAAUGUUGUACGGGGUGAAAUUUAAGAUCACAAUAAAUAUGUUCUUUUUUUUUUUUUUUUUUUUUUUGUCAAACACAAUAAAUAUGUUCUAUGAUCACAUUAAGUUAAGAGGAAUGCUAAGAUCGAUCACUAUUUAUAUUCUAAGAUCACAUUAAACAUGCAAUCUAACGUUCCAAACAGUCAAUGGCACACCCCGACUGAGGUCAAGGCAUGCUGGCCGUCACGUGAGAGUGACGUAACCAUGUGCACAGUGCGGAAGCGAUAAAGAUAGCAAAUAUACAAAUAAUUAAAAACCACAUUAAUAUAGUGCACUACUAGCAGGGAGUGAUAGGAGUUAGUUACAACCGUAAACAUUCCUAAUCAGAGCAUAAAAAGUCUAGGUGCAAUCCAGUAGGACAAGUACUAGUUACACAGUACCAGAAAUGUCCUACUAUUAUUCAAUGGGUCAGAACUGCUGACGAUCCCGAGCCACCAACAGCAAGCUUACUUAGAACCUGGAGGGGCGCAAAACAGAAAACGUGAGUGGGCAAAAACAAAUGUUUUACAAAAACAUUUCAUUUAUCAAUAU